UGUGCAAGUACAUCCGCCUUCUUACGGCAACAACAAUUAUGAUUGGACAAUUAACUAGUCGUGUAGUUGUAACAAAGCUUUUGAUUGGAUSAUAUUGACUUGUGAACUUUGAACUUUAGGUCAAACUGUCCUGUUUGAUACAUACAAAUCCAAAUAGAAACGGGACAUUUCUUACGAAUAUAAGCAUGCCGUUUUAGAUUAAAAUAGCCAAUAUUGUUCUGAAGUUUUACUGAGUAUAGACAUCACAAGGAUUUUCUUUCAACAGACGGCAGUUACCGUACAUUGUUCUUCCAGGUCCUGUCGUAUUUCUACAUGCUGCUGUCAGCAUGGCACCGAAAGCAAAACAAAUUAUGUUAAUGUGAAGGACGAGUUUGAAAAUGACAACGAUGAAGGAGAUGAUGAUGUUGAAGAAGAAAAAAAUAAUGGUGAUGGUCCUCAACCGGACGACGAAUUUAAUUUGGACGAGGUUUUGCGUUUGGGUGGAACCCGAGGAGAGUUCAUCAACUACACAGGAGACCCUCUCCAGGACUUCACUCUCAGCAAGUUCUUGGAUCGCUUCUUCUUCAGGAAUCCCAAACAACUGAAGGGCAAACAGAACACAGACGCUUCAGUGAUGCAGCCCAAACAGAAGCUGGCCAUGAACAACAUCCAGAAUUUACCUGGUGAGUGUGUCUUUUGAGUCAUUCUGAAGAAUGAUAAAGGGGUCCCUUUAUUGAGCAGACAUAAGGAAAGUAUUUUUUUCCAUCUCUCAGUGAACUGUGAGGAGUUACUGUCCAAUGAAGAGAGUCAGAUUCCUGUGGAUGAGGUCUUCUAUCGGUUCUUCAAGAAACGAGAGGCGGAAAAGGCGCUGCAUCGGCCACGAGGUGAUGGCGAUAGCGAGAGUGUGGAGGAUGUUUGAGAAGCUGCUCGAUACAUACGAGGGUGACAGUUAUUUCACAGACUUGCCAGUUGAUGAAACAGACCUGGACUUUGCAGGCAAUAUCAAGAUGAAAUCUAAGAAGGGGAAGAAGGGUGGAGAGGAUGACUCUGAUUCAGACCUGGAUGAUGAUCUGGAUGAUGUGUCCCUAGGCAGUUUGGAUGAGGAGGACUUUGGAGAUGAACUGGGGGAGGAGGGAGGAGGGAGGGGCCUUCAUGGACAGCAUUGGGGAGGAUGAUGAGGAAGUUCCAGAACUUGAUGAUGAUAACGCUGAUUCAGAUGAGAUGGAGGUUCCACACAUAAGGCCAGGUUCUAAAAUGAGGAAGGCAUCAGAGGAUCUUGACUUCAGUGGUUCUUUAGGUUCCAAACCAGGGAAGAAAAGGAAAGGGGGACACAGCCAUGUUUGCAUCUGCUGAAGAGUUUGGGUAUAUGUUGGAUGAAAAUGCUGGUUCUAAGUUUGACAACAUCGGCAUGAAUGCUAUGGCCAACAAAGACAAAGCAGGU